AGUGAACGCUGGCGGUAGGCCUAACACAUGCAAGUCGAACGGCAGCACAGUAAGAGCUUGCUCUUACGGGUGGCGAGUGGCGGACGGGUGAGGAAUACAUCGGAAUCUACUCUUUCGUGGGGGAUAACGUAGGGAAACUUACUCUAAUACCGCAUACGACCUACGGGUGGAAGCAGGGGAUCUUCGGACCUUUCGCGAUUGAAUGAGCCGAUGUCGGAUUUGCUAGUUGGCGGGGUAAAGGCCCACGAAGGCGACGAUCCGUAGCUGGUCUGAGAGGAUGGUCAGCCACACUGGAACUGAGACACGGUCCAGACGCCUACGGGAGGCCGCAGUGGGGAAUAUUGGACAAUGGGCGCAAGCAUGAUACAGCCAUACCGCGUGGGUGAAGAAGGCCUUCGGGUUGUAAAGCCCUUUUGUUGGGAAAGAAAAGCAGCAGGUUAAUACCACGCUGUUCUGACGGUACCCAAAGAAUAAGCACCGGCUAACUUCGUG
rnacentral:rRNA from 1 species